AUACGGAGGGUGCAAGCGUUGUCGGGAUUUAUUGGGUUUAAAGGGUGCGCAGGCGGUGCGUUAAGUCAGUGGUGAAAUCUUCCGGCUCAACCGGGAAACUGCCAUUGAUACUGGCGCACUUGAGUACGGACGAGGUAGGCGGAAUUUAUGGUGUAGCGGUGAAAUGCAUAGAUACCAUAAAGAACACCGAUAGCGAAGGCAGCUUACCAGACCGUAACUGACGCUCAGGCACGAAAGCGUGGGGAGCAAACAGGAUUAGAUACCCUAGUAGUCC
rnacentral:rRNA from 1 species